rnacentral:lncRNA from 1 species
UUUCUCUUUUUCUGUAUCUAUCUAUCUAUCUAUCUAAUUUUUAUAACUAAAUCUAUUAUUACCUCUUCCUCUUUUCAUUUUGAUUCUUCAAAUCUUUAUAAAUCUCCUCCUGUGUCUAUGCAUUUGUGUGUGUUCCCCCCUCCCUCUCUCUCUCUCUCUCUCUCUCUCUCUCUUUUUUAAUCUUCCAUUUCAAACUGUUAUUCCUCCUCCUCCUCCAUCUCUCUUAUAUUUUAUCUCCUUAACCUCCUUCCUCUCCUCCCCACCUCGCUCGUCCGUUCCAUCUUCAUCGUCUUCUCCUCCAUCUCCUUCUUCCACGUACUCUCCUCACUUUUAUUACUAUUCCAUUCCGCUAACGUAAUUUUCCUUACACGGCUUUAUUUUUCCCAACCGACAGUUGCUCUGCUUCCAUAAACUUUCCAAAACCUGUCUGUUCAUCCUAUCAACUCAUUUAACUUUACUUCUGUUCGAUCGCUUAAUCCAUCUUCCAAUUUGCACUGUACUUUGUGUUAUAUUGAUACGACGACUCCAAACAAUCCACCGCUGGUCCCCGCCUCUAUAUUAUCUACCUGCACAUUUGAUGGCAGGAAGUAAGAAGUAAGGAAUCUGGUGAAUACAUUUUACAUUGUGUGACACGGAAGAGAAAAGAUUUAAAAAAUACACAGUAUGUCGGAUUGGAAAUGCUUUUGGUCGAAGAAAAUAUUGCAGUGUUGGGAAAAAUCAGCAAAGGAAACAAUGUAAAAGGGUGGUCUUGUGGUAAAAAGUUUGCUCCCCGUCCUCAGGGUUCUGGUUCAGUCCCACUGCUUGGCACCUUGGAUAACGCCUACUACUAUAGCUUCGGGCUGACCAAAACCUUGUCAGUGGAUUUGGUGAACGACAACUGGCAGUUGUGAGUGUGUGUGUGUGUGUUUUGUUCCUGUGUUUGUCCGUCACUACCACUUGCUUUUCAAGUGGAACUUGUAAAAGUCGAUGUGGGCUUGGCCGAAGAGGAAAGUAUCCGUCUUCAGUCCUUUUCAACCUUGUCCAUCAAACUACCUCUUGCGCCAUAGACACCAGUCAGAGGAAAACUUGCUUCCUGGUCAAAGGAAGGCAGGAGAGCGAUGCUCACCAGGGAUCCAUCCUUCACGCAUCAAAAGCUGUUUGAUGAAGAUCCACAAGUCAGCAAUACCCGAACUCUGGACGAAGGGUGGAGUGGGGACGGGUGGUGGUAGAGCUGGUGGUGAAGUUGAAAGUUGCUGUGCUCGUAUUCUUAUUGUUGCUGCUGUUGGGUGUUUUUGGUAUUGUCUCAUUCAUUGCAGGUAAUUCAGCUUCAUUAUUAGAAUUAAAUUCCCGUGCAGUGUUGUUGUUGUUGCUGCAGCUGUUGUCAUAGGAUUAGUAUGGUACACUGUACUUUGAACUUGGUGAGCGCUCCCCUCCCCUCCCAGUUGAGGGGGGAAGGCGGAGGACUCUAACUUGUCUUGCAAUUCACUAUCAAGGUUACUUGUUUAUAAGAUUGCUUUUUCAAAGUGAAAAUUUGCCUCUAAAUCCUACGAAAUGGUUGUAGUUUUAACGAGCGUUUUGCAAACAAAAAUUUAAAUAGAAAAUAACUUACGAGCGAAAAGACAAGUCUUCGGCUAGUACGAAUAAUCAUAAUAAUCCUUUCUACUAAAGGCACAAGGUCUGAAACUAUGGGAGAGGGGACUAAUCGAUUACAUCGACCCCGGUAAUUCACUGGUACUUAAUUGACCGACCUCGAAAGAAUAAAAAGCAAAGUCAACUUCGACGGGAUUUGAACUCAGGGAGAAAGCAUUUCACCCGGCGUGCUAACGGUUCUGCCAGCUCAUCGCCUAAUGCCACUAGUGGAUGUGGGAUUUUACAAUAAGAAAUUACAAUACAGAGGUUGCUUACAAAAUAUAUAGGAAACUCAUAUGAGCAGACCUGUGUUCAACGGCAUUCUAACCGUGACCAUCUCUUUUUCUUAUUUUUCUUAUGUGUAAUUAACCUUCAGCCAUAUUAUCCUACUUACCCUCUCCCAGGGUGUGAUUGGAGGCUGAUAUUUCUUGUAGGCUGAUUGAACUUGUAGAGGCUUCGGAAUCUGGCUUAUAGAGCAAACCUACUCAACCAAGGAAUACGUGACAAUUUACGCCAAGUUUUAAUCAAAUUUAUAGAAGAGCAGCACUCUUCUUUCAUGCUUAGCUUCUUCAAGUAGUUUUUGAAGCAGAUUGUAAGGACAUAUUUGGGGAAGAAAUGUGCAGUCAUUAUUCUUUUCUCUAUUGUUCUUCACGCUAACUCUUUCGCUAUGGCCUUGACAAAGAUAAAAAUUGUCUACUAUUCUCUCUAAAGAUAGGCAGUGAAGUGAUCUUUAUGACGGACAAGGCAGAGAUGCGGAUUCCUUCGACUUGCGAUAUAACACAAGUCGGCAAUUUUUGGACACAGAACGAAUGCAUGCAAUUCUAUACACACCUCGGAUACGCCCGGCACAUCAGCUGUAAAUGAAGUAUUUAUUACCCACUGGAAAUGUUGAAAGUAGCAUCCGGGAGAGACCGCUCAGUUGAUCUUCGAUAAUGCUUAAGUUAUACCAUCAGAGCAUCACCGGUUUUUGCACAUCAGUAGUCUUCUGAAGAAUACUAGAGAAGUGCGAACACUGUGAAUGAUUUCUGAUAUUAGACGCCCAAUAUUGGUUUACGCUUGACCCAGGACAGCAAUUCCAUCAAGGAAUAGUCUACGGAAAAACUAACCUGACACAAACUCACUAUUAAAGAAUCAUGAACCUUCAAGCCAGUGCAAUCCAUCCUUUCAGCAGGAAGCGAAAGAGCAGACACUCCAAUGUACUUAGAUGUUGUAUGGGUCAAGGCUUGACUGUCAGAAUGAUAAUAGAUUACUAAAGGGAAGUGAAGAUAGGCAUCAGUGCGCGGAUUUAGUAGUUAAGGAGAAUUAUGACAUAUAUUGAUUGUAUUUUGAUAGAUCUCAUACACAGAUAUACUUAAACGCUCGCGCACACAUGAAUAUAUAGAAAUAUUGGCUUGUCUGCAUGCGUGUGUUUAGGCACAAGACUACGAUCUACAAUCGGGGAGUAUAAUCUAUUGAAAUAACUUCACUAUGUGACUGUUAUUGGCUUUCUCGAUGCUGGAUGAUGAAAAAAGGAAGUCAAUUAAUAAUGAUUAUAAUAAUAAUAAUAAUGAUGAUAAUAAUAAUAAUAAUAAUAAUAAUAAUAAUAAUAAUAAUAAUAAUAAUAAUAAUAAUCCUUUCUACAAUAGGCAAAAGGCCUGAGAUUGGGGGAAGGGUAUAGUCGAUUACCCCACUGCUCGACUAGUACUUUUUCAUCGACCCCGAACCGAUGAAAGGCAAAGUCGACCUCGGUAGAAGGACGAAAUGCCGCUAAGCAUUUUGUCCGGCGACCUUAACGAUUCUGCCAGCUCACCGCCUUUAAAACAUUGAUUUUAAAUUUUGGCACAGGGCUAGUGAUUUCAGAGGAGUGGGUAGGUCUAUUACAUCAAGUCCAAUAUUCAGCAGGUAAUUAUUUUGCCGACCCCGGCGGAAUUUGAACUCAGAACGUAAAGACGGACGAAACGUCGCCAUUUCGCACGGCGUGCUAACGAUUCUGUCAGCUCAAGAUCCACAUAUAUAUAUAUAUAUAUAUAUAUAUAUAUAUAUAUAUAUAUAUAUAUAUAUAUAUAUAUAUAUAUAUAUAUAUAUUAUAUAUAUAUAUAUAUAAUAUAUAUAUAUAUAUAUAUAUAUAUAUAUAUAUAUAUAUAUUUAUAUUUAUAUAGAUACCAAUUAAGGACUGAACACGAAAAGUGGACAGUCAACAUGCUAGAUAUGGCUGCAGUUUUCCUUGCGGAAAAUAACAGCUGAAACUAAGUUAGUACAUGGGUAAUUAUUUUAUUUCGUAUAUUUUUCACUUGUUUAUUGCUAUGGUUUUGUGUUGAGUUUGAUCUGAGAACAUAAUCUUUUGUGGAGAAUGACGAUUUGACGUCUAUAUCUAGCAUGUUGACUGUCCACUUUUCGUGUUCAGUCCUUAAUUGGUAUAUAUAAAUAUUUUAAUCUUCGGAUUCUUUUUUAAUAUGCUAGACCACUGGUCUUAAUUGAUAAAUAUCAAUUUCUACCCUUAAUUAAUUUUAUAUUUAUAUAUAUAUAUAUAUAUAUAUAUAUAUAUAUAUAUAUAUAUAUACUUUAUUUAAAGCAGCAGAAAAUUCUAAUUUUCUGCUGCUUUAGAUAAAGCAUAUUACUCUACCACUGGUAUUUGAGUACUCUUUUUUUCCACCUUCUUUCACAUUUAUGUGUUUACCCCGGUAUAUAUAUAUAUAUAAAAGGACUCAUAAACAUAUGCAACACUCAGAAAGUAGCACUACGAGGCAUUCGUCGAAUACUUUAAAUAAGGAAAAGGAAAAUCACAAAAAACAAAAACGAGAGACUGCACAAUACCAAAGAGGUAAAAGAGCUGCGAAUGUGCGUUUUAGGGAAAUCACGCAAUGAAAAUAUGAGAAGCGAAAAGUAAGAUAAUCGUGGAAUUAGUAAUAAAAUGUUUAUGCGCCACAGGAGCAAAACAAACACAAAACAUUUAUACAAGCGAAGAGAAGUAUUUAGUGCACAACAGAUGUUAUACUGUUAUACAUACAUUGAUACAUACAUACAUACAUACAUACAUACAUACAUACAUACAUACAUACAUGCAUACAUACAUACAUACAUGCAUACAUACAUACAUAUACAUACAUACAUAUACAUACAUACAUACAUAGAUACAUGCAUACAUACAUACAUACAGAAAGAAAGAAAGAAAGAAAGAAAGAAAGAAAGAAAGAAAGAAAGAAAGAAAGAAAGAAAGAAAGAUUGACAUGCAAUCUCUCGUUCCCAACUACACAUCUGUCUAUCUGUCUGUUUGUCAGUUUAUGUAUGUAUGUAUGUAUAUAUAGUUCAAAUUUUUAGAAAAACAAAAACGAAGACGGUGUAGGAACAACAAGUAAGUGUAUUAAUUUGCUGCUCGGGAAAAAUGGGAAAUCUCUUACCUUUUCGAGCCUACGCUCUGCGACAUAAAGGAGGAAGAAGAGGAAGUAAAUAGGGAGAGAAUGGAAGAAAGCGUGGUGAGUUCAGUGGUCCAACACACACACACUCACAUACACACACACUCACAUACACACACACACACAAACACACACAGGCAAAUGCAACGUAAAAAUGCUAGCAAUUUCCUCAUUAGAAAGUGUCAUUGACACAACAAACAAACACACACACACACCUACAUCACACGGUUGUCUAUGUCGUUUUCUUUUGCUGCAUCGCACUCAAAACAACAACACUUUCUUUAUCUUGUUCGCUUCCUGACGAAGUGCAAAGCCCGAAGCGUUAAAUUCUUUACUCCUCGCAGCAACCAAAACUUUAUCAAAAUCCGGUGCGAAUUCUCUGGUGUGUCUGUUCGUUAGUUUUAUUUGUACACAGAUUAAAUUUUGUUGUGGUUUAUUGGCUGCUGUUUUUAAUAGGAAUGCAAAUAUAUAAAUUGCUUUUCCGAAUACAAUUCUCAAUUGAAGUAAUGUAUUUUUCCAUCUGAAAACAAUACGUAGGUCGAAACCAACAAAUGGGUGGCUUCAGAAAGAAUCGCCUGCUAGACACAGGAGCUAAAUGUCCCUCCAAUCACACCUUACCGUCUUAAAAUAAUGAUGGAAAGUUUGGAUAAUGUAAUCAUUGUUAAUCUACGGCUAAAAUUAGGAUCGAACAUUUCACAAGUUAAAAUCAAAGUCAGUCCGACCACGGUGGGAUUUAAAAUCAGAACGUAAAACAUUCCGUAACUAAUUAUUGGUUUCAUAUUUUGGCACAAGGCCAGCAAAUUCAGGAGGGGCUCUUAGUCGAUUAUACCACCCCCAAUGUUUGACGGGUACGCAUUUUAUCGACCUCGAAAUAAUGAAAGGUAAAGUUGAUCUAGAUGGAACUUUAACUCAGAACCUAGAAGGCGUACGAAAUUCCCCUAAGCAUUUAUUCCGGCAUACUAACCAUUCUGCCAGCUCGCCGCCUUUCCAUAACAAAAUAUUGAUAUCGUACCAAGAUACAUUUCAAAUUUGGGGAAAGGAAUAGUCGAUCAUAUCUACCGCAUUGUAAGAUAGGUACUUUAUCACAUCAAUUUCUGAAAGAAUGAAAUACAAGUUUGUUAUUAGCGGGAUUUGAACUCACGCUAUAAAGAGGUACAACUCAUAUUGCGUCUACCACCCACCUAGUUUCAAAUCGAUUCCCAGUUAGACGAUUCUACUUCAAUUUACUUCACGACUGACUGGCUGCAGAGAGAUAAUUCGGGUGAAGUCGAUAACGAUGACAUACUUAAACGAGACAUGAAGCAGUGAUAAAAAUAGUGUUAAUUAGAAGAUAGAAGGGAGAAGAAAGACACACACACACACACACACACACACACUCCUACCAACAACAACGUGCGCGCACACACACGCACAACACAUACAAAAAAAAAGACAGAAAACAAAGGUAAGAACGAUAAAAGCAGUAAAUGGUUAAGUAUUCUUGCAACAGAUAUGAUGUAAGCAAUCAGGAUGAUGAAGGAAAGUGACGAAUGCAUCAAAAGCGAAAUAGUCAAUAAUGGUGGCAGACAUCCGAAGUCAGGAAUUAUACUACUUUAGACGUAGGCAGGGCUGUGUGGUUAACAAGUUUACUUCGCAGCCCCGGAGUUUCGUGUUCGGCGCUAAUGCAUGGUACUAUAGACAUGCAUCAUCUUCUUAAUCUCCUUAAUCAUCGCACAUUUUAUCGCAUUCAAAAAAAUGAGGAGGUGUUUAUUGUAAAAAUGUUCAAUGAAUAAUACACAUAGAUUAUAUUAGAGCUAUGACCAUGUCUACUUAAAAAAAUAGCACGGAAAUAGAAGCAUGUUGAAUAUAUAUAUGUAUGUGUAUAUACAUAUAUAUAUAUAUAUAUAUAUAUAUAUAUAUAUAUAUAUAUAUAUUCAUUCAUAUAUAUACAUACACACACAAAUAUAUAUGUAUAUAUAUACAUGUACAUAUAUAUAUAUAUAUAUAUAUAUAUAUAUAUAUAUAUAUAUAAGUUCAGUAAAAUUUAGAUUCAGUUGAAUAUGGUACUUAAAUUAAAGGCACCAGAAUUUAGUAUGGUAUUAUCCAUAAAAUUUGAAAUGUGGUGAUUACAAUAAAAAUAAGCAACAGCUGCAUUACCUCUGGGUAUCCUUGUUGCUUAUUUUGAUUAUAUAUAUAUAUAUAUAUAUAUAUAUAUAUAUAUAUAUAUAUAUAUAUAUAUAUAUAUAUAAUGUAUGAAUGUGUGUAUCCUUGUGUACAUUAGCGAGAAAAUCGGUAAACCGGUACUUUCGACUAAAAAACAUCUUGUGGUGUUUGUUCUAUUCGAGGGUAAACACGUUGAAUAAACGAAUCACUGAAUGGCCUGUUGCAAACCUAUUGGCAACAACGCUGUCGCUCACAAAAUUUGCUUUAAAAUUAAAUAGAUAAAUAAUGAAAUAAAUAGAUUAACCACAAUCGAAACCACAAUCUUACGAAGGCGUAAUGAAUUUAGCAGUUAUAAUAAUGGUUCGUUGCAAAGAAUUAUUUUAGCAUUCGGAUUUAUUGAUUCCUGCAGAGCUUUGAUCUACGGUAAUUAGUCUAUGACUUACCCGUCUUUUUCCCGUUCUUGUCAUAUUACAUUAUCCAACAUGUAGCAUCUUUAGAUCAUGGGUUAUCAAGCGAAUCCGUUGUUUAUGGGCAAACCGCAGCCCACGGGACUUUCUAAAUGGCACGCCUAACGAAACUUAAACUUGUGUUGUUUUUUCAUUUAGUUUGAGGCCCACCUGAUGAUGGGCCAUGUCUUCUCAAAAAAAGGUCGCCCAUUGACUGCAGAGUCAACCUUAUUGGAUGUUUAUUUUAGGCGGCGAGCUGGCAGAAACGUUAGAACGCCGGGCGAAAUGCUUAGCUGUCUUUACGUUCUGAGUUCAAAUUCUGCCGAGAUCGACUUUACCUUUCAUCCUUUCGGGUUCGAUAAAUUAAGUACCAGUUGCAUACUGGGGUCGAUCUAAUUGACUGUCCCCCUCCCCAAAAAUUUCGGGCCUUGUGUCUAGAGUAGAAAAGAUUAUUGCUGUUCUUCAGCCUGAGAUAAGCCGACAUAAUAAGUCAUUCAGUAGCAUUGCUACCGUAACCAUUUUUCUAUUUUUAAUAUCAAUGACUAGAGAGAGAGGGAAAGAGAGAGAAAGAGAGACAGACAGACAGACAGACAGACAGACAUAGACAGAGGGAGAUAGAACGAAAUGCAAAACUAGGAAUAUUGUGCAAUAUGAAUUAACAUUGUAGAAUGUAGUGAUGAAGAUCCGCCUGGUAUUUCUAGCGAAUUGAGAGAAAACGCAAAAGAGACUCGCUCAUUGGGCGUAAAGUUUUUUUUCCCAUUUCUUUUCUUUUUUCUUUAUUUUUACUCAACAGAAACUGCGUUGAAAAUACAAGAGACACGAAAGAUUGUUUCAAUAAAUUAGCUAAUCAACAUACUGAAUAAACAAUAUGUGUUGUGCCUGAGAGUAAUUAUGUCAGCCUGUUUGCCUGAUUGCAUGGCAUACCUUGCCGGCUUUGCCUACUGAACAACCAGUCAGUCUCCUUAAUCUUUCUGUCUGCCUAGAUGUCAGUAAAUAGACCUGCUAUAUCUGUCGAAAUGACAUCAACUCCCAGUCCUCCGUGAUAAAAGAGCUUACAUGUCACUUAGACAUCAAACAACAUAAGUCCACACGCAGAGAAGAAAUGGUUUCAACGAUGUGUUCUUCUUUUGUGUGUCUAUCUAUCUAUCUAUCUAUCUAUCUAUCUAUCUAUCUAUCUAUCUAUCUGUCUGUCUGUCUGUCUGUCUGUCUGUCUAUCUGUCUGUCUAUCUACAUUUAAGUGUAUUACAGCCUCCCCUUCUCUCUGUAUAUAAAUAUACUUGAGAUAUGUGUGUGCGUAUACUCACACACAUAUACAUAUGUGUGUGUAUGUAAGUAUAUAUAUAUAUAUAUAUAUAUAUAUAUAUAGAGAGAGAGAGAGAGAGAGAGAGAGAGAGAGAGAGAGAGAAGAAUACAGUGUACAUUGUACAGAAUACACUGUAUUCUUCUCUGAAUAAUAUAGAGUCUAUUGACUAAUUUUUACCUUCUCGCUAAGAAUUUUUCGAUAAAUAUUCUUGCUACCCUAAGAUUUUAAUUAAUGCUAAAAUGUUUUUUGGCAAAUUUUGGAAGAAAAUGGGCAAUUUAUUUAUUUAGUGCUGGUUGAGUUCUGCAUUUGUGCGGUGGAUUCGAAGAAUUAGAACCUCUAAACACGUGGCUGAUUACUUAUAGCUCCGUGUCUGUGUGUUCAGUCUUGGCAACCUACAGAAGAUGCAGCGCCAGGUAUAGACUGAAAUUAUCUUAUUUCAAUCUGUAUUUAAGGCUGCAGAAACCUUGCAGGGUCUAGGAUUAAGGUAAAAGUUUUUAUUUUUCAAUCACUUUCGGAAUUACAACAAUUAGAGGCUUGGAGUUUAACUGCUCUUUCUAGCGAGUCAGAUAUCCUAUUCUUUGGGUUGCUUCAACGUACACUGUAUUCUUCUUUGAAUAAUAUAUAGUCUAUUGACUCAUUUUUUCCUUCUCGCUUAGACCACUGGUAACUAAGAAUUUUUCUGAUAAAUAUUCUUGCUACCCUAAACUUUUAAUAUAUAUAUAUAUAUGCGCUUGUGUAUGUAUGUAUAUAUAUGCACUCAUGUAACUCCCCCACACACACCCACACACACAUGUACACCUGUUUAUCCACAUAAUGCUAAGAAAUGACCGACGAAUACAUUGUUCAGAGAUUCAUAUUCUUAUGUUAACAAUCGGUGAUUCACUCUUCUUCUUACUCAGAGUUUCACACAGACGUCAAUUACCAUUCAUGAUUAUUCACAUGUGUCCCUGAUCCACACACAAGAUUCACGUAAUUUACCAAUGAAUCAGCAACUGUUUUCUAUAUGUAUGCAUGUGUGUGUGUAUGUUUGUAUGUAUGUAUGCAUGUAUGUAUUUGUGUAUGUGUGAGUAUGUAUAUAUUUAUAUACAUAUACAUACAUAUAUAGAUACUUACACACACACACGUAUAUAUACAAACCAACGCACAUAUGUAAAGUGCGUACACAUAUGCACGCACUCACGUAUGUAUAUGUGUGUGUGUGUAUGUACAGACAGACAGACAUACGAGGGGUGCAACAAAGUUCCUCGAUUUGGAUUUUUAAAAUAUACUGGAGAUAAAAAUAUAUAUAUACUGCAACGGUCCUUCAAAUUUUCUAAGUUCUGUGAACGAACACGGAAUGUUGAACCUCCAGUCAGGCUUUUAACGACACACUCCCCGUGUUUAUAUAUAUAUAUAUAUAUAUAUAUAUAUAUAUAUAUUGCAUGUUUACCUGUAAAAGUGCGUUGUCCUGUCGCUGAAAUUGACAAAUAUUUCGUUGACGCAUUGUGGAUAUUAUCUUAUCUUAGUAUAUUAAUUUUAGCAAAGAAGCUUUGCGGAUUAUCAAAACUUCUUGUUUCUGAGCGUGAUACGUAGAAAUACAAAGUCAGCGCAUAGCGGCUGACAUGAGAAAAAUAAGUCAGGUAAUACGUAACAAUAGAUACGCCCGUUCUGUUCUAUAUUUGUAGUGUUCCGAGCUAGAGAGAGACGACUUUGUAGCAGUCAAUAAGUUAUCCCACCUUGCGCUCGUCCUCAGUUUUCAUCAGACAUUGUUAAAAGGCAGUUCAUUUCCGAGUGAUGCCUUAAAUACUCGGUCGUGUGCAGCUCACACACACACACACACACACACACACACACACACACACACACACACACACACACACACACACGUUAAUGUUUGUUCAAUCAGUUAUGAUAAAAACAAUUUUACAUUCAUCUGUUGGGUUGUUCCGUAUUUCUGUAGAGCACAGAUUUAUUAUUCUUCUACAAGAAUGUUGUUGACAGUGACAUUGAAGUUUUCGCCCAGCUAACCCAUCGUCGGGCUGCGAUGCAUUAGAUUUAGUCUUCUUACCUUUACCACCUCACUCCAGCCCACCCCCACACACACAAAGAUAAUUCUUCACUCUACAGAGGCUAUAUAAAAGAAAGACUAACUCUAAUGCCUUGCAGUCUGACGAUGGCUUAACUGGUCGAAACCUCGAAUUCACUAUCAACAAUAUAUACAUAUAUAUGCAUAUGUAUGUUUGUAUAUAUAUAUACAUGUAUACACACAUACACACACAUACACAUAUAUAUAUAAUCAUAUCAAAGGGAAAUGGAAAUUAAUAGAAAUUAUCACUUCCAGUGGCCUAACGUGUAAACAUUUAGUCCAAAGACUAUGUAUUAGUCAUAAAAUACAGUGUACAUUUAAACACAUAAGGAAUGCUGUCGAAUGUUAUCCCUAAUUUUGUGGUUAUAGAACCUAGCUGUUCUUUCCAGCGUGUUGAAUCCCAUGAGUGGAUUCCUUGUGUGUUUAAAUGUACACUGUAGUUUAUAUAUAUUUAUAUGUAGAUGAAAAGAAAGAAUAGAAAUGGCUUUUUCUGAUAAUUUUUCCACUUCAAUAAUUAGAUGUUUAUAAGUCUUUAUAUAUAUAUAUAUAUAUAUAUAUAUAUAUAUAUAUAUAUAUAUAUAUAUAUAUAUAUAUACAUAUAUAUACGCGUGUGUAUAUGAUAUAUGUACACAUAAGUAUAUGCAUUCAUACAUGCAUACACUCGCGUAGGAAGCAUACUUUACUGCAAAAGCAGUACUUACAGCUGGCGAACUAGCUUAGUUGCAAUAUACUCUCUACAGAAUAACGGAAAAUUAAACAUUCAUGUACACACACGUGCACAAGCACGCACUCAGUGAAUACAUAGAUCAAGAAAGAAAGUCAGAGGUAGAUAAAUAUAUCAUGAUACCGUGAUACGUGAGAGAAAUAUGCUGAUCCGUAAAAAUAGUAUUUAAAAUGUAGAGAAGGUUAUGAACGAAUAUAAAAGUUGAUAAAAUCAGAUUAAUGUUUGGUGACGAUAUGAAACACAUCGAAAUCUGACAGUCUUUUAAUCUAAUCUUCUGUGUAGGUCUCUGUAUCUGUACGUAUUUAAAUAAGUAUGUAUACAUCUAUACGUGGAGGCGCGUGGCUUAGUGGUUAGGCUGGCAGCAUCAUGAUCGUAAGAUUGUGGUUUCGAUUCCUAGACAGGGCGACGCGUUGUGUUCUUGAGCAAAACACUUCAUUUCACGUUGCUCCAGUCCACUUCAUUUCACGUUGCUGCGAUGGACUGGCGUCCCAUCCAGCUGGGGAACACAUACGCCAUUGAAACCGGGAAACUGGGCCCAUGAGCCUGGCCAGGCUUUAAAAGGGCGCAUUUAUAUUUAUUUAAAUACAUCUAUAUCAAUAUUUGUGUCUAUCUAUCUGUCUGUCUGUCUCUUUAUGCGCGCGUGUCUAAGUGUGCAUGUAUAUAAACUUGCAUGCAUAUGUGCAUAGAUAAUACAGACAUGUGUAUGUCUUUGUGUGAGUGGGUGUGUGCAUGUACGUAUGCCUGCAUGUAUACGUACAUACAUAUUGACGUGUGUGUGUGUGUUUAUUGAAAGGUCUAAUAAGCAUGAAGGAACAGUGCACCUGUCAUGUGUUCUAAUAGACUUGUAAAGAACCGUAAGUUUGGUGUUCAAUUUCAGUAUAUGUAUGCAUCAGUAAGGGAACUUCAUAGAGUUGGUGUUACGAAGAAAGCAAAUAAGUCUCUAUGAUUAGCGCAGAGCACAGAGGAUAAGAAGGAAAUGAAAUGAGAUGGUCGACGAAGGCGGCGUGCUGGCAGAAACGUUAGCACGCCGGACGAAAUUCUUAAAAAGGCGGUGAGCUGGUAGAAUCGUUAGCAGACUGGACGAAAUGCUGCAACGCAUUUCGUUCACUUCCACGUUCUGAAAUGAGAUGGUCGUGGCAAACGGAAUUUGGAGGGAGAGGACGAAGUGACUGUUUAGCCUGACAACAGAUCAGAGUGACGAGAUUCCACUCGCGGUUUAGACUUUGCAUUGUGUUUGUGAUUUUGUAUUAACGGGUGAGUCUUUGUCAAUGAGUCUGAUGGUUUUCUUUUUGAUGUCAUUUAGGAAGUUUGUAUAGAGUUUUACAGAACUGUCGAGCUUACUUCAACUUUGUAGGGCAUCAGUAGUCAUUCGAAUAUUUUCUGACACUACGAUAUCACAUAGUCAUAGUAACUAUGAUUAUGAUAUCAUAAGAAAUGAUCGUAAGAAUUAAUGGUGUCUAUCGCUUUUAUAGACAUUUAGAGUUUUGAUUACAUAUUGUCUAAAGUUAGGAAGUUUGAUGUACAAGAUACUUUCUUCAUAUACGUAUUGUCUCUCUCUCUCUCUCUCUCUUUAUAGUUUUGAGUGAAACCAUUUUCUCAUUCCUCUACAUGCAUGUGUAGGUUUUAUAUACACAAAUCACUAUCUCUUUGAACACACUAUCUAUUAUAUUAGUUCCAACAGGGCCUACACAAGAAAGUUCAAUCACUAAUUCUGUCAGGGCCUGUGGUUAUCUAUCAAGGAACUGCCAUCGCGCAGCCGUGUCCGAAAGUUAUUUUUCUUGUUCGGCCAAUCCAAAUCUUUCUCCAAAGUACAUAGGCCUAAUAAUACCGGAUUUAGGAUAAAUCAAGGCCCUGUGCUAGUUACGUUAUGAGGUCCCUUACUUGGACAGUUAGGCAUACAUGCUCAGCAAAUUCAUCGUAUUAUGUUUUGGGAGCAGGUAGAUCCCCCCCCACCUGGUCAACGGGGCCUGCGCUUUAGUAGACCUAAGCACAAUGGUAAAUCCAGUACUAGAGUCUAAACAGAAAACUUGUAUCAGUCUGUUGACAAUAUUCUAAUCUGGAUUACAGAGGUGUAGCAAUCAAGAAGAAUCAUAUAUAUAUGUAUAUAUAUAUAUAUAUAUAUAUAUAUAUAUAUAUAUAUAUAUAUGCACUUAUGUAUUUAUGCAUGUAUGUAUGUAAGUAUGUGUGUAUGUAUGUAAGUUUGGUGUUCAAUUUCAGUAUAUGUAUGCAGAAGUAAAGGAACUUCAUUCCAUAUGCAUGGAAACUUUUAUAGAUAUACGUGUCAACAUAUUCGCAAACACGCAUAUACGCACACACACAUAAAAUAAUAUAUGUACAAUACCAUAUAUAUACAUGUGUGUAUGUAUGUAUGUCUGUAUGUAUGUAUGUAUGUAUGUAUGUAUGUAUGUAUGUAUGUAUGUAUGUAUGUAUGUAUGUAUGUAUGUAUGUAUAGUCCCCGGAAUAAAAUCUAGACCAUACACGCAUUAUGUAGUUGACCUAGCACUAGGUUAUUGGUCGUCGUCAUAUUGUCUAAAAUGCACACCGCAAUGGGUUGUUGUCGAGAAGACAUUUACUUCACCAUUUUUUAUUCAUCUACUUGAGUGUGUGUGUGUGUGUGUGUGUGUGUGUGUGAGUGUGUGUGUGUAUGUGUAAGUACGUAAGUAAGUAAGUAUUCGUGUGCAUACCGACCACAUAAACGUCCUGGCAGGCAUUGGAAUCCACCGAAGUACUGCAUGCAUGAUGAGUUCUUGUCUUGUCGCUUUGUUGAACAGAGUUCAAAUUUGUAUGUGGACAAAAAAAAACAAAAAAAAACAAAUAAAUAAAAAUAAAAAUAAAAACGGAAAAAAGGAAGGCAGGAAAGAAAGAAAGCACACUAACCCAGAGGAAAGUAUUAUGGUGUGAUGUGAGAUUAGGCAAAGAAUUCAUUCAGGAAAGUAUUCUGAACUUAUCGUUCACGGUGCUAUGGACCAUUAUCCACAGACACGCAGACGACCAAAUGCACAGGAUCGUGUGUGUGUGUGUGUGUGUAUUUGCGUAUAAAUGUGUUCUGCAUGUGUUUGUAUGUACACACACACACACACACACACACGCACAAGCACACGCACACACAUAUUUAUAUAUCACACCAACAGAAUUCUGUAGUGAAGUUUAUAGAUGCAGGAAAAUAAGUCCGCCACAGUCAAAGGAAUAUCCUGGCAUUUCAGGACUCUUCCUUUCUAUAAGAGAGAAAAAAAAAAUGUUCAUAAAAAUUUGAUCUGUGAAUCACAUAUGCUUGAAUAAAACAUUCCGUUUCUGACGAGCUGGUUGAAUCGUUAGCACGCCGGACAAAAUGCUUAGCGGCAUUUCGUUCGUUUUUAGGUCCUGAGUUCAAAUUCAGCCGAGAUCGACUUCGCUUUUCAUCCUUUCGGAUCGAUAAAUUAAGUAACGGUAAUGGGGUCGAUGUGAUUGAUUACCCCCGCCCCCAAAGUUUCAGGCCUGUACCUACAGCCGAAAGGGUUAAUCUCAACUACCAUUCUCAUUUAAAAUAUACCUUUAAUUGACACUUAUACUUUGUCCCUUUGAUACUCCAAUUCCCCGCGAGAUAAAUUUUACCCUUCAUCCUCACCCAGGGUCGAUUAAGUAGAUCUCAGUCGAGUCUUGUUACUGGUUGAAUUGACUAGUUUCUUCUCCAUAUUCUUGUUUUCAAGUUUGUUAGAACUCAGUGCUAAGGAAUUUACGACAGCGGAUGGCAGAUGCAUUGUGGUAGUACAUUGCGUACCUUCGGGUUCUGGUUUCUGUUUGUAGUCCAUAGAAUAAUGUAGCAGUUUGAUAUUUAGGUCGAUUUAGCGAACAACACCUUUCUCUAAAAUUUGCGACCUAAUACUAUGUUAAGAAUCAGUAACCGUUAGAGAUCGGAAUAUUAAGUACUUGCGAUGGCAGUGAUGAAGGGGGGGGGGGUAGACGGGCGAUUUUGUGAAAUGUAUGUUCUAUCAGCACAGGUUUGUAUGUAAGCACGAAUGCAUGUGUAUGUACAUAUGCAUGUACGUAUAUACCGUUGUGUAUGAGUGUGUGUGUGUGUGUGUGUGUGUGUGUGUGUGUGUGUGUGUGUGUGUGUGUGUGUGUGUGUGUGUGUGUGUGUGUGUGUGUGUGUGUGUGUGAGUGUGUGUGUGCACUAGAGCACGCGCACACAGCUGGAAGUCGAAGACUGAAAAGAAGUUAUGAAGCAUGAAUAACUGAAUGCACUGUCAGUCCAACUUAUCUACUCGACACUACAUUAAGAAGGAGAGAGAGAGAGAGAGAGAGAGAGAGAGGUGAUAAAGAGGGGGGAGGGAGAAAGAAAGAUGGAGAGAGAGAGAAAGUUAAAGAAUGUGUGUGUUGUCAGUCAGUCAGUCAAACAGACCAAAAACAACAAUGAUGCUUCUUUUUAAAUCCCUUAGAAAUUUACGUGCCACAAAUUCGUGAUAAAUACAAGGAGCCAAUAGACGGUGAGCUGGCAGAAACGUUAGCACGCCGGGCGAAAUGCUUUGCGGUAUUUCGUCUGUCUUUACGAUCUGAGUUCAAAUUCCGCCGAGGUUGACUUUGCCUUUCAGCCCUUCGGAGUCGAUAAAUUAAGUACCAGUUGCGUACUGAGGUCGAUCUAAUCGACUGGCCCCGCUCCACAAAAAUUUCGAGUAGAAAAAAAAAGUAAAGGAAAAUAUAUAAGGAGCUAAUAACGGUGAAUCUAUGACUUGCUGUGCUAGCAACCAAAUUUCCUCCAAAUCCCUCUGUUUUUACCAAUGAAUUGUUGGCGGUAAUAAGAGACAAAGGUACACUUUCGUGUGUGUGUGUGUAUAUAUAUAUAUAUAUAUAUAUAUAUACAUAUAUAUAUAUAUAUAUAUAUAUAUAUAUAUAUAUAUAGAUAGAUAGAUAGAUAGAUAGAUAGAUAGAUAGAUAGAUAGAUAGAUAGAUAGAUAGAUAGAUAGAUAGAUAGAUAGAUAGAUAGAUUGAUUGAUUGAUUGCCCGAUCACGCCUAGAUUACUGUUGCCCACUGUAGUCUCCCCACACGAAGCAGCUGUUCCUAGCAGACUGAGCGACUACAUGGAGACUUUCCUGUUGACUACAAUCUCUGAUAGAGUUCAUGCUAAUUGAUUUAGUUCUAAAUCAAUCCUGAUUGAGAAGACUUAUGAUCAAAUGGCAUUUUAACCUAUAACCAUCUCCUUUGUUCAAAUAUAAUACAUCUAGUAAUAUAUCAUCCAGUGUGAACCACUUUUUGUAGGCCCGCAGAAUAUGAUUGAAACGGUUGUUUGCUUACUUUUUAGCCGGUCUUGUGGGGCCAUGCUGGUUUGACUCUAACAUAGCUAAUACCAGAGAGUUAAGGGAAUUCAAGAAGACACCGAGCAACAGUACUGCAGUGACUAACCUAUAUACAAAACAAAGAAUGCAAAUGUACUCAUAUGAGUACGUUUUAUAAGAAUACAUGCUUCUGUGGAGGCGUGCUGAUGAUGGGGCUGAUUGCCGCGAUGGUGCUGUGUGUCAAUGAAUUUAUGCAUAGUGAUAAAAUGCGGGAGCGAAGCCUGCUGUGUUCACAUUAUAAUUAGGUAAACCUGCUCAUCGUUUUACAAAAUAAACGUCGCUUGGGUUUAAAUAACUCUAAAUGCUUUCCCACCAGCCAGGUAUAUGCUUCUUACCCUCAUACACGAGUAUGUGGUUAUAUGAAUAUAUGGGUGUGUGUGCAUGCACGUGUUUGCGUGUAUAUGUUUCCAUAAGUACAUAUGAAAGAACAAACAUAUAAGAUCUAAACCUCAUCACACGCACCCCACCACACAAACACACACGUGUAUGUAGGUGUGAGAUUAGGGUGGGUGUAAGUGUGUAUGUGUACUGCCGUAUGAAGCAUAAAAUUGUACGUCGAAGGAAAACACCUUCUGAUAAUUUUAAAACCCUCGGGUGCUUCUCUUUCCGAACCAGUUCAUUUUGCCUGUCGUCCCCUUCCAAGAUUGUUUAAAGAAGAAUUAUACAAAACAGAGUUGAUACGUUCGGCAUAGAUCUGUUGAAGUUAGCGCCCUCACCAUAACCACAAUACAAUGACUGAAAUGUGCAAAAUAUCGGAAAAAUAUAAAUGAAUUCAACUUUUCAUCAUUCUUCAUCCGAAUAAAAGGCACUGCCGCGAAACGUAAGAAUUCGCCCUCUGUUUUGUCACGGCACACAUGCUUUUUCGAUAAUUCGUCCUUGUUAGAAGUUUGGAGAAAAGGUUGGGUACUUUUUUUAUUUUUCCAGUAAUCAACUGUUAUCUUUAAAAAGUCAGAAUUUCUGUUGGCUUUUUUUUUUAGCCUCCAUCCCACUUAGUAUGAAGGGUAAGGGAGGCUCAGUUUCUUCAAACCCUUCAUAUCAUCCUAGAUUGUUGAAAUCCUUCCCGUUGUUUAACUUCAAAUUGUGCAAAUGUAAAUCUUGGAAUAGGAACGGGGUUCCAGAAUAUUUUUGGUUUGAUGAGCAAGAUUGAGAAAGUAUUAAAUUCGAGUGUUUGGAAAAACUCCCUUAUUAGGCGUGGUUAUACAGGUUAGAAGAUUGCUUCCCAAACUUGCACCACAUUGAACUCCUUUACCAAUAAAAUCCAGUGUCUUUCCUAACAAGUAAGCUAACAGUUACUUUAUAAUAGAGCAGAAUGCCAAACUUUUGGUGAUUCGAAGUUUAUUUUCGAAUUUGUGAGUCGACGAAGGAGCUUCUACAAAUUUAGAUAGCGGACUGAACGAACGAAGAAAACCUAUACAUGAUCACACAGCCUGCUAGAAAUAACAACUAAAUUUCCUUCAAUCCGCAUAAAUAUUGCUGUAGCGUAGUCUUAAAGGUCCUCAGCGCCUAGUGAUAAAGUCAUUUUUUGGCGCCCGUUUCCUCCUCUGAAAUGUUUCAAUUGUUACUAUUAAUACUCACCCCACGUACAUUACGAAUUAAUCACCGCCCUCCACAGGUCAAAAAUAAAUUUACAACGUAACAUUUCACAAUAUUACGACUGAAAAACCUGUUAGUAAUAAAAAUAUUUUACGCCCCAUCACUCCUGCGUUGCAGGGGUAAUAAACCCGCCUCCCUCUCUCACCCCCACCCUUGCUUUAUCCCAGUACUACCGUCUUGAAUAACGAAGCACAUGAGAUUCAUUACAUUGAUAGGAACAAAACAAAACCAAAAAAAUGAAGAUGGGGUGGUUACGGCUGGAAGGCACUGACGGUAGGUCUGCUCAAUCUGUGUUGACCUACUUGUAGGUCAACCUAAGAAGAACAACAAUCACAACAGCAACAACACAAGGGUACGUCUAAGCAGCCAAAUUUCCUCCAGGUCAACCCCCUGCUGUCUUUAAACAGGAAACUACGCAUCAGAUAGACUUCUAUACAUUAUAUUUGAAUGGAAAAAAAAAUUAAAGGGGUUAGUAGCGGCUGGGCCACUUUUUGAUCAUGGUUCUGUUCUGAUCAGGGCUGACCCGGGACACUAAACCAUAACAACAACACUAACUUUAAGAGUUUAAUAUAAGCCUUAAUCAACUUAUCUUCUCUCAUUAUCUCUCUGCUACAGUCUAUUAGACCUGAAAUGCCAAAGGACGCUGCUCUUUCUUGUUUCACUAAUACGGAUAUCAUCAUUUAAUGCUAUUAUUUAUAAUCUCUAUAUCGACACAUCCACACACGCGCACACAAGCACGCACCGACUCACACUCUCACACAACCUCAAUCACACGCACAUACACAUUCGUACUCAUGUAUAUACACCUAGAUAAACUUACAUACACACCAACAUCCAUUCAUAUACACACGUUCAUGUACACUCAGACAUACACACAUGCUUCUAUAUAUGUGUGAAACAGAUAUUUACAGACAGCAAUACGCGUAUACACACAUACAUCUAUAUACAGAAUAGGAUAAUACAUAGACACGCGUGUUUGUGUCUGUAUAGAUGUGUAUACGUGUCUAUGUGAGUGUUGGGUGUAUGUGCAUAUAUGUGUACGUGUGCAUGUGUCAGUGUAUGUGAGUAUGAAAGUGUAUAUAUGCAAACGUGGGAGUGUGUAUGUACAUGUGUAGGUGUAUACGUAUCUGCAUAAAUGGCUAUAUGUAUGUUUGCAUAUAUGGGGGUAUGCGUUAAUGUGUAUGUAUCUCUGUGCGUAUGUGCAUAUGCGGAUGUAUGUGUGUGUAAAUCUAUAUUUCCAGCACGGCGUCCUUCUGUCUCGGUCAUAUCCAAAUAUCAAUUUCGUUUCACUAGGCACAAAGCCAAAUUUGGCAUGGGUGGUGCUGGUAGAAUAGAUAGGAGGGUGGUAUUUUCUAGGUUCAAAAUCGAUUGAGUUACCCUCUGUCAUACGGAAAUAUAACUGGUAUUUCUGAUCAAA